rnacentral:rRNA from 1 species
UGGGGAAUAUUGGACAAUGGGGGCAACCCUGAUCCAGCCAUGCCGCGUGAGUGAAGAAGGCCUUCGGGUUGUAAAGCUCUUUCGGCGGGGACGAAACGGUUCGUGACAACACCACGGACUAAUGACGGUACCCGCAUAAGAAGCACCGGCUAACUACGUGCCAGCAGCCGCGGUAAUACGUAGGGUGCAGGCGUUAAUCGGAAUUACUGGGCGUAAAGCGCACGUAGGCGGAUUUGUCAGUCAGGGGUGAAAUCCCGAGGCUCAACCUCGGAACUGCCUCCGAUACAGCAAGUCUCGAGUCCGGAAGAGGUGAGUGGAAUUCCUAGUGUAGAGGUGAAAUUCGUAGAUAUUAGGAAGAACACCAGUGGCGAAGGCGGCUCACUGGUCCGGUACUGACGCUGAGGUGCGAAAGCGUGGGGAGCAAACAGGAUUAGAUACCCCGGUAGUCCCUGAGCGGGCUGGCAAGGCGCAU